rnacentral:rRNA from 1 species
AUCUACACGUAAGGAGUCGUCGGCAGCGUCAGAUGUGUAUAAGAGACAGGUACUGUGAGGUAUGCUGGAGGUAUCAGAAGUGCGAAUGCUGACAUAAGUAACGAUAAAGCGGGUGAAAAGCCCGCUCGCCGGAAGACCAAGGGUUUCUGUUCGACGCUAAUCGGAGCAGAGUGAGUCGGCCCCUAAGGCGAGGCCGAAAGGCGUAGUCGAUGGGAAACAGGUUAAUAUUCCUGUACUUGGUGUUACUGCGAAGGGGGGACGGAGAAGGCUAUGUUGGCCGGGCGACGGUUGUCCCGGUUUAAGCGUGUAGGCUGGUUUUCCAGGCAAAUCCGGAAAACUAAGGCUGAGGCGUGAUGACGAGGCACUACGGUGCUGAAGCAACAAAUGCCCUGCUUCCAGGAAAAGCCUCUAAGCAUCAGGUAACAUCAAAUCGUACCCCAAACCGACACAGGUGGUCAGGUAGAGAAUACCAAGGCGCUUGAGAGAACUCGGGUGAAGGAACUAGGCAAAAUGGUGCCGUAACUUCGGGAGAAGGCACGCUGAUAUGUAGGUGAAGUCCCUCGCGGAUGGAGCUGAAAUCAGUCGAAGAUACCAGCUGGCUGCAACUGUUUAUUAAAAACAUAGCACUCUGCAAACACGAAAGUGGACGUAUAGGGUGUGACGCCUGCCCGGUGCUGGAAGGUUAAUUGAAGAUGUGAGAGCAUCGGAUCGAAGCCCCAGUAAACGGCGGCCGUAACUAUAACGGUCCUAAGGUAGCGAAAUUCCUUGUCGGGUAAGUUCCGACCUGCACGAAUGGCGUAAUGAUGGCCAGGCUGUCUCCACCCGAGACUCAGUGAAAUUGAAAUCGCCGUGAAGAUGCGGUGUACCCGCGGCUAGACGGAAAGACCCCGUGAACCUUUACUGCAGCUUGACAUUGAACUUUGAUCUUACUUGUGUAGGAUAGGUGGGAGGCUUUGAAGUGUGGACGCCAGUCUGCAUGGAGCCGACCUUGAAAUACCACCCUUUAAUGUUUGAUGUUCUAACGUUGACCCGUGAUCCGGGUUGCGGACAGUGUCUGGUGGGUAGUUUGACUGGGGCGGUCUCCUCCUAAAGAGUAACGGAGGAGCACGAAGGUUGGCUAAUCCUGGUCGGACAUCAGGAGGUUAGUGCAAUGGCAUAAGCCAGCUUGACUGCGAGCGUGACGGCGCGAGCAGGUGCGAAAGCAGGACAUAGUGAUCCGGUGGUUCUGUAUGGAAGGGCCAUCGCUCAACGGAUAAAAGGUACUCCGGGGAUAACAGGCUGAUUCCGCCCAAGAGUUCAUAUCGACGGCGGAGUUUGGCACCUCGAUGUCGGCUCAUCACAUCCUGGGGCUGUAGUCGGUCCCAAGGGUAUGGCUGUUCGCCAUUUAAAGUGGUACGCGAGCUGGGUUUAGAACGUCGUGAGACAGUUCGGUCCCUAUCUGCCGUGGGCGCUGGAGAACUGAGGGGGGCUGCUCCUAGUACGAGAGGACCGGAGUGGACGCAUCACUGGUGUUCGGGUUGUCAUGCCAAUGGCACUGCCCGGUAGCUAAAUGCGGAAGAGAUAAGUGCUGAAAGCAUCUAAGCACGAAACUUGCCCCGAGAUGAGUUCUCCCUGACUCCUUGA